rnacentral:tRNA from 1 species
ACUUCGAUAGCUCAGUUGGUAGAGUGUAGGACCAAUUCUUAGGUCGCAGGUUCGAUUCCAGCUCAAAGGA